GGGGACCUUCGGGCCUUGCGCUAAUAGAUGAGCCUAAGUCGGAUUAGCUAGUUGGUAGGGUAAAGGCCUACCAAGGCGACGAUCUGUAGCGGGUCUGAGAGGAUGAUCCGCCACACUGGGACUGAGACACGGCCCAGACUCCUACGGGAGGCAGCAGUGGGGAAUAUUGGACAAUGGGGGGAACCCUGAUCCAGCCAUGCCGCGUGUGUGAAGAAGGCCUUUUGGUUGUAAAGCACUUUAAGCGAGGAGGAGGCUACCUAGAUUAAUACUUUAGGAUAUUGGACGUUACUCGCAGAAUAAGCACCGGCUAACUCUGUGCCAGCAGCCGCGGUAAUACAGAGGGUGCGAGCGUUAAUCGGAUUUACUGGGCGUAAAGCGUGCGUAGGCGGCCAAUUAAGUCAAAUGUGAAAUCCCCGAGCUUAACUUGGGAAUUGCAUUCGAUACUGGUUGGCUAGAGUAUGGGAGAGGAUGGUAGAAUUCCACGUGUAGCCCUGAAAUGCGUAGAGAUCUGUAGGAAUACCGAUGGCGAAGGCAGCCAUCUGGCCUAGUACUGACGCUGA
rnacentral:rRNA from 1 species